rnacentral:rRNA from 1 species
UACAGAGGGUGCGAGCGUUAAUCGGAAUUACUGGGCGUAAAGCGCACGUAGGUGGCGACGUAAGUCGGGUGUGAAAUCCCCGAGCUUAACUUGGGAAUGGCGCUUGAAACUACGGUGCUGGAGUGUGGCAGAGGGAGGUGGAAUUCCACGUGUAGCGGUGAAAUGCGUAGAGAUGUGGAGGAACACCGAUGGCGAAGGCAGCCUCCUGGGCCAACACUGACGCUCAUGCACGAAAGCGUGGGGAGCAAACAGG